rnacentral:rRNA from 1 species
GUGGGGAAUAUUGGACAAUGGGCGAAAGCCUGAUCCAGCCAUGCCACGUGUGUGAAGAAGGUCUUCGGAUUGUAAAGCACUUUAAGUUGGGAGGAAGGGCAGUAAGUUAAUACCUUGCUGUUUUGACGUUACCGACAGAAUAAGCACCGGCUAACUUCGUGCCAGCAGCCGCGGUAAUACGAAGGGUGCAAGCGUUAAUCGGAAUUACUGGGCGUAAAGCGCGCGUAGGUGGUUUUGUAAGUUGGAGGUGAAAUCCCCGGGCUCAACCUGGGAACUGCAUACAAAACUGGCGAGCUAGAGUACGGUAGAGGGUGGUGGAAUUUCCUGUGUAGCGGUGAAAUGCGUAGAUAUAGGAAGGAACACCAGUGGCGAAGGCGACCACCUGGACUGAUACUGACACUGAGGUGCGAAAGCGUGGGGAGCAAACAGGAUUAGAUACCCCAGUAGUCC